rnacentral:misc_RNA from 1 species
ACACUUGAAUUUAGCUGUCACCUGCAUGGUUUGAAAGUUGAUGAACAAGAAGUGAUAUGAAGCUGCAUGCUAUGCAGCUACUACAUAAUGUCAUCAUGUGCCUUUUCCGAAUGCAUGCGGGUGUGUAUGUGUUCUGUGUCAGUUUUACAUUAUUCAAAUAUCAUUUUAUGAUCAGAAGAGCAUAUUUGUCAACCCAAUGCAAUGGACCAAAACACUUAGCAUACAUAAAGAGCCUCUUCAACAAUGACAACCAAACAACCUGAGAAUAAACAAGUAUGAAGACUGUUACCACUGCUUAAAAACUCCCAAGAAACUAACAAGGAGCAUCUCCAAAACAAUUCUUCUAAACACCUUUCCCCAAAAUUCUAGGAUGGAUAAAUUACAUCAUGUCUCCUGAUUUUUAGUUGUGAUCAUGUUGGAAUCUUAACUUUAAAUCAUUGCAAUAUGUAUCUUUAAUUUCACUAACAAUUACAACUGAAAACCUCAUUGACCAUUAUUUUUAAGGAAAAAAAAAAUCCUAAAUCUCUGUCAUUAAACAACAUAAACUUGACAUCUUAAUUAUUUGCACAAUAAACUUUAAUUUGGCCCAAAAGCUAAAACUCAUGAAAAUAUAAACUAUUAUAUGAAAUAUCUUUGGGGAAGUUUUAGUUCUAAAGAAAAAUCUUUUUAUCUAUGAUACACAACAUUUAUUUUGUUUGUAAAAAUUGACCCCAUAGUUCCCCUCAUUAGAGAUUUUUUUAAAGUACCCUAUUGUAAGAUUUCAUGAAGGAUAUGAUAGAAAAUGUGAAGAGAAAAAUUUUUCAAGGACACCCUCAGUUGUAAUAGUUAGUAAAUUCAAAAUAGGUCCAAAAUCCAAUUUGAAAUUACUGCUAUAACUAGUGGUAGUUUGUAAUCUACCAAUUCUUUCAGAAAUGUGCACCCAUCAAAUUGAAUAAAGCAAGGGAGGAAAGGUUAGCAUUUCAAUCAUUAUUAUAAAACCAAGGUCAAAUUGAGGAUCAUUAAAAAGGAAAAACAUAUAUGAAUAGCUAAAUUCCAUACCCUGGCCUGUACUUUAGGGUUCAAUAAAAACUUAGUCCCAUAAUUCAAAACAUUACAAGGCUCAGAAUGAACUUUAUAAACCAUUAUAAUUGAAACCCUCAAUCAAUUUUCUAUUCUUAGAAGUCUCAUUCAUUUCUGCAUGAAAUUUGAAAGAAAUAAUAUCUCCAUGCAAGAAAAACAAGAAGUUGUGAAGCAAACAAUUAUAAUACCUGUGAACAGGUGAGAACAUCC